rnacentral:rRNA from 1 species
AAACUGGAGAUGGCGACCGGCGCACGGGUGAGUAACACGUAUCCAACCUGCCCUUUACUCGGGGAUAGCCUUUCGAAAGAAAGAUUAAUACCCGAUGGCAUAAUGAUUCCGCAUGGUUUCAUUAUUAAAGGAUUCCGGUAAAGGAUGGGGAUGCGUUCCAUUAGGUUGUUGGUGAGGUAACGGCUCACCAAGCCUUCGAUGGAUAGGGGUUCUGAGAGGAAGGUCCCCCACAUUGGAACUGAGACACGGUCCAAACUCCUACGGGAGGCAGCAUG